rnacentral:tRNA from 1 species
UCCAAAUAACUCCACUGGUAAGGAAUCUGCCUGCAAUGCAGGAGACCCUGGAUCGAUUCCUGGGUUAGGAA